GAGAGACUUUGCGCUGUUCAUCAGGCAAUGGCUUUUCCCACCUGCCUUGCGCCCCCACCAGCCCUAGGGGCCUUUCCCACACCAUGACUUUAGGAACAGCAGAAGCAGCUGGGAAGAGAGAAGAGGUCAGGGGUAUUUUUUUAAAACAAUUUUAUAAGUUGUGUGUCUUUGCUUCUCAAUUUGUAUUGCAUUAUUUUAUGCACUGUUGACUUGCUGUUAUUUUUAUGGAUUCUAGUUUCAGAAAUUAUUUAUUGUAAUUGUUAAGAGUGAAUUUCUGUUUAAUGUUUGCUGAUAUUUAAUUUUAUUGUGUACUAUUAUAAUCUAAUGGAUUAUUUAAUACUACUUUUUAAAGAUAUAAGUUGUUUAUUUUAAAGUUUUUUUUAUUAUGGCAUUUUUGUAUUCGAUCAGAUUGUGUGGUGUGUGAGAUCUCUGUUGUUUCUUCAGCUUCUAAACCGCCUUGUGUACAGUAAUAUAGAAAGAUGGUACAGUGGUACCUCGGGUUAAGAACUUAAUUCAUUCUACAGGUCCGUUUUUAACCUAAAACUGUUCUUAACCUGAGGUACCACUUUAGCUAAUGGGGCUUUCCACUGCUGCUGCGCAAUUUCUAUUCUCAUCCUGAAGCAAAAUUCUUAACCCAAAGUACUAUUGCUGGGUUAGUGGAGUCUGUAACCUGAAGCGUCUGUAACCUGAGGUACUACUGUAUACGAAUUAAAAGUGAAAUGAAAUG